AACGAACGCUGGCGGCAUGCCUAACACAUGCAAGUCGAACGAGACCUCCGGGUCUUUUGGCGCACGGGUGCGUAACGCGUGGGAACCUGCCCUUAUGGUCGGAAUAACUCUCCGAAAGGGGUGCUAAUACCGGAUAAUGUCUUCGGACCAAAGAUUUAUCGACUUUGGAUGGGCCCGCGUUGGAUUAGCUAGUUGGUAGGGUAAAAGCAUACCAAGGCGACGAUGCAUAGCUGGUCUGAGAGGAAGAUCAGCGACACUGGGACUGGGACACGGCCCAGACUCCUACGGGAGGGAGCAGUGGGGAAUAGUGGAAAAUGGGCGAAAGCAUGAUGCAGCAAUGCCGCGUGAGUGAUGAAGGCAUUAGGGUUGUAAAGCUCUUUUAACCGGGAUGAUAAUGACAGUACCGGGAGAAUAAGCCCCGGCUAACUACGUG
rnacentral:rRNA from 1 species